rnacentral:tRNA from 1 species
CCCUUCCUAGCUCAAUGGCUAGAGCACUCGGCUGUAGCCCGAGAGGUUGCCGGUUCAAAUCCGGCGGAGGGGA